rnacentral:rRNA from 1 species
CGGCGUGCCUAACACAUGCAAGUCGUACGAGAAGUCGGCUUCGGCUGAUGAGUAAAGUGGCGCACGGGUGAGUAACGCGUGGAUAAUCUGCCCUUGAGUGUGGAAUAACGUACCGAAAGGUGCGCUAAUACCGCAUAAUGCCUGGCAACACAAGUUGUCCGGCCAAAGAAGGCCUCUGUUUACAAGCUUUUGCUCAAGGAUGAGUCCGCGUACCAUUAGCUAGUUGGUGGGUAACGGCCUACCAAGGCUACGAUGGUUAGCUGGUCUGAGAGGAUGAUCAGCCACACUGGAACUGAGACACGGUCCAGACUCCUACGGGAGGCAGCAGUGAGGAAUAUUGCGCAAUGGGGGCAACCCUGACGCAGCAACGCCGCGUGAGUGAGGAAGGUUUUCGGACUGUAAAGCUCUGUCGAGCGGGAAGAAAUGUACCAUGGCUAAUAUCCAUGAUAUUUGACGGUACCGCUAGAGGAAGCACCGGCUAACUCCGUG